AACGAACGCUGGCGGCAGGCUUAACACAUGCAAGUCGAGCGCCCCGCAAGGGGAGCGGCAGACGGGUGAGUAACGCGUGGGAAUCAACCAUCUCUACGGAAUAACGCAUGGAAACGUGUGCUAAUACCGUAUACGUCCUUCGGGAGAAAGAUUUAUCGGAGAUGGAUGAGCCCGCGUUGGAUUAGCUAGUUGGUGGGGUAAAGGCCUACCAAGGCGACGAUCCAUAGCUGGUCUGAGAGGAUGAUCAGCCACACUGGGACUGAGACACGGCCCAGACUCCUACGGGAGGCAGCAGUGGGGAAUAUUGGACAAUGGGCGCAAGCCUGAUCCAGCCAUGCCGCGUGAGUGAUGAAGGCCCUAGGGUUGUAAAGCUCUUUCACCGGUGAAGAUAAUGACGGUAACCGGAGAAGAAGCCCCGGCUAACUUCGUGCCAGCAGCCGCCGUAACAC
rnacentral:rRNA from 1 species